UACGGAGGGGGCUAGCGUUGUUCGGAAUUACUGGGCGUAAAGCGCGCGUAGGCGGCUUUGUAAGUCAGAGGUGAAAGCCUGGAGCUCAACUCCAGAACUGCCUUCGAUACUGAAGAGCUCGAGUCCGGGAGAGGUGAGUGGAACUGCGAGUGUAGAGGUGAAAUUCGUAGAUAUUCGCAAGAACACCAGUGGCGAAGGCGGCUCACUGGCCCGGUACUGACGCUGAGGUGCGAAAGCGUGGGGAGCAAACAGG
rnacentral:rRNA from 1 species